CUCCAACCCCCUCAACUUCCCUCUUAAUACAUUAUAUAACACACAAGACACUAAUAGAAGAGCGGAAUACACAAAAACACACGGACAUAAACCAAAAAGAAAAAGGAAACAGAAACAACAAAAAUGAAAACAAAAGGAGGAGAAGAGAAAAAGUGAGAAAAUUGAGAGAAAAAGACAAAAGAGAAAAAAACGGAAAGGAGUUUGAAUAUUCUUGGGUUGAAAGAUUGAGUUUAGAUUUUCGUUCGAGUUUUUGGUUCGACGUAAAAGCUUUCUCGUUUGGUUUAAUUCGUCAUACAGGCAAAGAAUGUUUCCAUGGAACAAAUGAUGGCAUUGAGGAGUGUUGUUCGUGAUGUAAGUAUCAUAAGUAACUCUGAUUUUAAUUUAGGCAAAACACUCGGAUCGAAGGGAGUCUUGAAGCAACGGUGAAAUUGUCUUCGUCUGAUCUGGAUUUCAAGCAAAUACAAGGCCAGUCCAGGAGUGUAUCUAGCUAUGUAAGAAAGACCAAGAAUUGAUGAAUUAUUAAGCUUCAAAUUAAAUAAAUUCAAUGUGGAUUUUGAUGGAGAUAUCAAAUGGCGGUUCAUGUACUCAGCUUGAUCGAUCAGGAAAUGGUCGUCGAAUAUGCGAAGUUAAUGUCAGAAAUGGAGUCAAGAUGCAAUGCACUAUUAGGUUGGAAAUUCUUACCAAGUCUCCUCUAUGAUGUGUAUUGAUUUGUAUGUUCAUGAAUUUUUUAAAGAUAUGGGUUCUUCUUGAUUGCAAGUAUUUAUUGAAAGGUUAUUCCUGUUCCA